rnacentral:rRNA from 1 species
AACGAACGCUGGCGGCAUGCCUAACACAUGCAAGUCGAACGAGACCUUCGGGUCUAGUGGCGCACGGGUGCGUAACGCGUGGGAACCUGCCCUUAGGUUCGGAAUAACUCCCCGAAAGGGGUGCUAAUACCGGAUAAUGUCUUCGGACCAAAGAUUUAUCGCCUUUGGAUGGGCCCGCGUUGGAUUAGCUAGUUGGUAGGGUAAAAGCCUACCAAGGCGACGAUCCAUAGCUGGUCUGAGAGGAUGAUCAGCCACACUGGGACUGAGACACGGCCCAGACUCCUACGGGAGGCAGCAGUGGGUAAUAGUGGAAAGUGGGCGAAAGCCUGAUCCAGCAAUGCCGCGUGAGUGAUGAAGGCCUUAGGGUUGUAAAGCUCUUUUACCCGGGAUGAUAAUGACAGUACCGGGAGAAUAAGCUCCGGCUAACUCCGUG